CAACAUUUUUGCUUGUAUGUGGUGCUGAGGAUCGAACCUGGGACGCACGCAUGCCGGGCGAGCGCGCUACCGCUUGAGCCACAUCCCCAGCCCCUGAAGCUGUUCUAAUGGGAGGGAUCUACUGUGAUUGAGACAUUCAGAAAGACUCAUCUCUUUUUUUCAACGUUCUUUAGCGUAGCUACCAGAAUUUAGCCCAGGUAAAACUGAGUGAAAAUUCCAUUUUUUUUUUUUUUUUUUUUUAGGAUGGACAUUAGCUGGACCUAACCGCAGUUUUAGAGGUUCUGGAAAAGGUUGCCGAUUUCUUAGUAGAAGCAGUCAGAUAUAGAAGAACUGUAUCCAAUGGAGAGAAAAAGAAUAAAUUAAGUAAAUUUAAUCCGUUCAAAGAAAGAAACAAGCAAUGUUUAUAACACAAAGAUAGAAGAGGUGAGGAACCCUCAGAGAGCCCAGAUUUACUUCCAUGAAUCCAGCCCAGUGUGGUGAGACUCUGUUGAUUCUAUAUGAGGAAAAGUUCUUUGUUCUCCAUGUUGCAGUAAUCAGACCCAGCACUUUGCUUGGUUAUGACAAUGUGGGUCAUGGUUAAAUUCAUUCCUUGUCUGCCAAAGGAGAAAACAGCUUGUCACAAUUCUGGGGCACUCCUUCAACUCCACCCAGUGGAAAGUCAAACAUCUGCACAAGCAAAGGCCCUUCCCACCACAGCAUGGUCUCUCUUGUGUUCCCUGAAUCCCUCACAACUGUGCCUGCUACUGUGCAUUUCUGGGGGGUCUGUGAAGCAGAGAUGCUGAGACCAACCCCAGGGCCCCCUCUGAUGCACAGCAUGGGUAACUGCCACAGCCCUGUUGCAGUGCACUCGUGGUUCUUGAAAAGUUCCAGGUGGAGUACCAUUCUCUUCCUUUGCUCAUGCCUAAAGCAGUUUCCCUCCACUGUUAUGUCCUUCUCAUUAAGACUCAGGUUAAAUCUGUUGCAUUUCCUUCAUGGAUUUAUUAGCACUUAGUAAUGUAUUCUUUUAAGUGCCUCCAUUCAUUGAUCUCUGCUUCCUCAAAAUUCCUAGUGCUUGUAUGGUACAUAGUAUCAGAAUGCUAUUUAUCUUUUUUUGUGUGUCUUCCAUCUCUCCACAGUGAUAUUGGACACUUUUUGUGGACAUAUACUCUGUGCCUUAUGUAUAUUUUAUAUUCCUAGGGCCUACCAAAAGUAGGUUCUCAGAACUUGAUGGUAUAGGUAGUAGCUAGAUCCGUCUACUAAAUUUAGAGUUUGGUAUUUUCUAACUCUAAUAUUAAUCAGUUCAAGUUAAGGGACUCUGAAAGUAACUAAAUACAGAGUCAACAGAUCCAAAGUGAUUAUACUAUAUAGUCUUUGGUUCCUUCUGUGAAGGAUUUGGUACAAAGAAAAACUGACCCUGAUUAUUUUCUCUGAGAGUCCUGGGAGGUCAAUGAAAAAGAAACAGUUCAGGAAAGAGUGAGUUUGUUUGUUUAUUGUUUUUAAUUAAUUUAUUUACCAGUUUUCCACAGAGAAUUCCACGUGUUUCUACUCCCCGAGCAGUGUUGGCACUGGCUGACUGGAGAAACUGUGGACUCAGCUUCCUGGGCACCUGCACAUGGCACAAUCAAUGGAUUGUAGAAAUUGGACUGGAAAGGGGAAAGUCUGAGACCAUGAGGCUGAAUCAUUCCAAGCAGACCUCACAGCCGCUAGCACUGGGAGAGCAAACUAAGUCACUAAAAUCCCUGCAACUUCAGACAUUGAGUUGGGCAUUGGGCAUCUCACUCUAAUGGCAUCAAAAACGUGUUGUAAAGUCUCUUCUGCAGCCUAUAGCCAGAGCUCAUUAGGAGAUGUGAUUGUUAAUUUUAGGUAUCAGCUUUACUGCAUUAAGGAAUAGGAACAUGGUAAAGAAUUACUUCUGGGUGAGACUUUCAGGGGUGUUCUGAAGGAAAUUGAUAUGUGGUUGUACAGAAUGAGUGGGGAAUAUCUACCCUCAAUAUGGGUGGGCACAAUGCAGUCAGCUUUGGGUCCACAUAGAAACACAAGAAAGGCAGAGGUAAGUCACUCGUCUUUUUCUGCCCCUGGGAAAUAAAAACUGUUCAUUUUAGAGGAUGGAUUCCAAGACUGGCACCAAGUGACUCCUGGAUUCUCAGGACUUUGGACUUGGACUGAGAAUUAUGCCAUUAGCUUCCUUGGUUCUGAGGGUUUUGGAUGUCGACUGAGCCACAUGAGCAGCAUUGCAGGGUCUCCAUCUUGGAAAAAGGCUUCUGUGAGAUUUCUCAUCUUCUGUAAUUAUAUGAGCCAUGUUGUCUCUGCCUAGAUUUUAGAGUAUGUUGCAGAAAGCCUGAGAGCAUGGAUGGAGGCAUGACACAGGAUCAGAGCCACCAAAGAGACUUCCCUUUGGGUCAAUGACUUGGCAUUGUAGGAGUAGGGCAGCCCCUCAAGACCCUAAAACCAAAGAGCCAUCAGCCAACAAUUCCGGUCUGGACAAGAUGAGGGCAAACUGCUAACUUCUGAGAGCUGCUGGGUGAAGUGAGCCCAGCAAAAAUAUAGCAAUGACCUGUCUGAGGCCUUGGGGGAUCCAACCCUUUUCUUAGUGUGCACCUAUGUAGGACAUGGAAUCAAAAGAGAUUGUUCUCCAACUUUAGGACUUAAUGUUUUCUCUUUUUUGUCUGGCCUUGAACUUGGGAAUCCUCCCACCUCAGCUUCCCCAGUAGUGGGAUUACAGGCAUGGGCUACCAUGCCUGCUCCAAUCACUCCAUUCUUCAUUUGUUCCUCCCUUUUGGAAUGGGGGACUGACCGUCUGAUACCUGUUCCACCAUUGUAUUUUGGAAGCAUGUAACUUAUUCAUUUCACAGGCUCACAACUGGUGAAGGAUGAAUUGUGUCUUGAGUCUCACCCACAUCUGAUUUAUCGGAACCUUUGGACUUUUGAGUUCAUACUCUUGAUGCUUCAAGAAAAGGGUAGGCUUUAAUUGGUCAAGGUAAGACAAGUGUAAACUACUACUUUCCAGAGCAUUUCUAAGAAAUUUAGGGAUUCUCUGUCAGAAUCUAAGAAGAAGGAUGAAAAACUAACCUUCCCAUUCAACUGAACAUUUUAUUUUUUUUUUCUCUUUGAACUCAUAAGAAUAUCAGGGUAUGAAUUUCUAAGAGUCCUACAAUAAGGUAGUCUUGAUAAUGGAAAAUGACUUCAGUAGUUAUUUACUUCUAGAUUGAGUCUUUAGAAGAAAGUUUAGAUGCCAAACCCUGCCCCUCUCAAAAAACAAAAACCAGUCUGGUCCCUCUAAAAAGGCAUGAAGAAAUGGGUCAUAAACUGCUUCAGGAUACCAAGAAUGGACUCAGUUUGUGAGCCCAGUGGAGAAACCCCAUGAGAAAGCCAGCAAGCUAAGGUUAGGGAGCAAGUUUCACAGCUAUAUUUUCAUAUUAAGAAAAAAAAGUUAGAAAGUAUAUUAAAUUUCUGCACAUUCAACAGCAACGUCUGAACUGUUGGACAAUGACAAUGUUUGAUCAGGAGGUGCACAGUCAUUCGGCAGUCUGAUGAUGCCAUCUAGCCAUGAUGAAUUAAAGUUUGGCUGAAUCUUUUCCUUUCAAUUCAGUAAAUCCACUUAGUCAAUGUAUACAAGUAGACACUGUGCUCAGCCUACACAGGGAACACAAAUGUGAAUGAGACUCAAGACUCAGGUCCUACCUUGUGGGAAGUGAAAAUAGUUAUUGCAGAUAACUCCAUGAAUGGGUAAAUGAUCUAAGUUGUGUUGCAGAUGAAAAGAGCUCUGAGAGUUUUAGAGAGAACAGAAUCAAUCUACUUGAAGAGAGGAACUGGAAAUCCUUCUAGAAAAGUAGGGAAGACAGAAAGAAUAGUUAGAAGACAAAUGAUAACAAGCCUCUUUGGGCAAGAUAAUGUCUUGAGAAUAUGAGAGUUCAAUUUCCCUGAAAUUAGAAUGUGUACAAGGGAACAACUAAUGGGAGCAAAGCUUGUCCAGGAAAUGGGGUGGAGGUCAAAAGGUCAGGCCUCAGAGCCCAGCCCUCCUUGUCUUCUUCCAUUGUACUUUUAAAUGGAUUUUCAGCAAAUUGACUUCUUUAAAUGACUACUUGAAAGUCAGUACCUGUCUUCCACAGAUUCCUCUAAUAAUCAAGAUAUACUCACCAUUUUUCCCCAUUUUCUUGAUUGCAGUCAUCAAUGACAGGAGGAAAGAUGGCCAAUAGUUUUUGUGGUUGAACUUAAUUAUCACCCACUAUACACAAUGUUUUUCUUGACUAAAUUGUUUAAGAAUCAAGAAUGCUUUCAGGGCAAGCACAAUUCAGUAGUCCCCCCCUUUUUUUUUCUUAUUUUUUUAAAAGUCAUUCAUCGAAUUGCCCCAUUGUACUGUAAUUUUGAAGAUUUUUUUUUUUUUUUUACAAAAAGCCAAUCUGGUCUCUAAUUCCCUGACCAUUUUGAAUCUCUGAAUAACCUUAAAAGCUGAGUAUUUGACAUUUAAAGACAGCACCAGCUUUUCAGAAAAUUGAUAUUGCUUCAGCUCAAUUGCAUGUUUUCAACAAAGGCCUCUUUUACAAGAUAGCCAGUGUCAUUCUGGGGGAUUCAUCCCAGGACUGCCUCUGUGAUCCCACUUACCAGGCUUUGACAAUAGAACCCCCUUGGAUAAGGACUGCCAUACUCUGUUCUGUUACACUGGCUAUCUUGUAAAAGAGGCCUUUGUUGAAACCAUACAAUUCAGCUGAAGCCAGGUGAAUUUUCUUAAAAGC
rnacentral:lncRNA from 1 species